rnacentral:rRNA from 1 species
AGGUUACUGCUAUCGGUGUUCGCCUAAGCCAUGCGAGUCAUAUGUUCGUAAGAACAUGGCGUACUGCUCAGUAACACGUGGAUAACCUGCCCUUGGGUCCGGCAUAACCCCGGGAAACUGGGGAUAAUUCCGGAUAACGCACAUAUGCUGGAAUGCUUUUUGCGUAAAAUGGAUUCGUCUGCCCAAGGAUGGGUCUGCGGCCUAUCAGGUAGUAGUGGGUGUAAUGUACCUACUAGCCUACGACGGGUACGGGUUGUGAGAGCAAGAGCCCGGAGAUGGAUUCUGAGACAUGAAUCCAGGCCCUACGGGGCGCAGCAGGCGCGAAAACUUUACAAUGCGGGAAACCGUGAUAAGGGGACACCGAGUGCCAGCAUCCUAUGCUGGCUGUCCGGGUGUGUAAAAUACACCUGUUAGCAAGGGCCGGGCAGGACCGGUGCCAGCCGCCGCGGUAACACCGGCGGCCCGAGUGGUGAUCGUGAUUAUUGGGUCUAAAGGGUCCGUAGCCGGUUUGGUCUGUCCUCCGGGAAAUCUGACAGCUCAACUGUUAGGCUUUCGGAGGAUACUGCCAGACUUGGAACCGGGAGAGGUAAGAGGUACUACAGGGGUAGGAGUGAAAUCUUGUAAUCCCUGUGGGACCACCUGUGGCGAAGGCGUCUUACCAGAACGGGUUCGACGGUGAGGGACGAAAGCUGGGGGCAUGAACCGGAUUAGAUACCCGGGUAGUCCCAGCCGUAAACGAUGCUCGCUAGGUGUCAGGCAUGGCGCGACCGUGUCUGGUGCCGCAGGGAAGCCGUGAAGCGAGCCACCUGGGAAGUACGGCCGCAAGGCUGAAACUUAA